rnacentral:rRNA from 1 species
UGGGGAAUUUUGGACAAUGGGCGAAAGCCUGAUCCAGCAAUGCCGCGUGUGUGAAGAAGGCCUUCGGGUUGUAAAGCACUUUUGUCCGGAAAGAAAUCCUCUGGGUUAAUACCUCGGGGGGAUGACGGUACCGGAAGAAUAAGCACCGGCUAACUACGUGCCAGCAGCCGCGGUAAUACGUAGGGUGCAAGCGUUAAUCGGAAUUACUGGGCGUAAAGCGUGCGCAGGCGGUUUUGUAAGACGGAUGUGAAAAUCCCCCGGGCUUAACCUGGGAACUGCAUUCGUGACUGCAAGGCUAGAGUAUGGCAGAGGGGGGUAGAAUUCCACGUGUAGCAGUGAAAAUGCGUAGAGAUGUGGAGGAAAUACCGAUGGCGAAGGCAGCCCCCUGGGCCAAAUACUGACGCUCAUGCACGAAAAGCGU